rnacentral:lncRNA from 1 species
CAAAGAUGUGGCUCCAGAGUUCACACUAGAGGAAUGGGAAAGUCUCAAUUAUACUCAGCGGGCACUGUACAUGGACGUGAUUUUGGAGACGUACAACAAUCUAUUGUCUGUGGGUGCAGUUCAGCAGACGCCACUCUGUCAUCAAACAGAAAAGCACACCAACACAGAGACAAGAUACAUCAGUCUAAAAACCAGGUUGUAAGUUUUACAAAUAGAGAACUAAACAUGGAUGACCCCAUGGUGGGACGGUCAAAUGGACCAAUUACAGCCUCUAUGGAAGUAGAAGUAAUGGAUGAAACCAACUGCCAGAAAGUUUUGAAUAUAUGGUGCUGCAGCUUUUUCAAACAAAGGAAAAGGAAAACCAUACAAUGUCACAAAGGACUGGACACAGACAUAUCCUGGGGAGUUACUUAACUGUUCAUAUGCUGUCUCAUGAUUAAAAUCAUCUCUAUGGUG